rnacentral:rRNA from 1 species
UACAGAGGGUGCAAGCGUUGUUCGGAAUUAUUGGGCGUAAAGCGCGUGUAGGCGGCUUAGCAAGUCGGGCGUGAAAGCCCUCGGCUCAACCGAGGAAGUGCACCCGAAACUGCUGAGCUUGAGUGCCGGAGAGGAUGGCGGAAUUCCCCAAGUAGAGGUGAAAUUCGUAGAUAUGGGGAGGAACACCGGUGGCGAAGGCGGCAUCCUGGACCGGCAUUGACGCUGAGGAGCGAAAGCCAGGGGAGCAAACGGG